AAUCAACGCUGGCGGCGUGCCUAACACAUGCAAGUCGAACGCGAAAGCCCUUUUCGGGGGUUAGUAGAGUGGCGUCCGGGUGAGUAACACGUGGGUAAUCUGCCUUCGGGUGGGGAAUAACUCAGGGAAACUUGAGCUAAUACCGCAUAAUGCAGCGGCACCUAAUGGUGAUUAGUUGUUAAAGCGGGGGAUCGCAAGACCUCGCGCCUGAAGAGGAGCCUGCGGCAGAUUAGCUAGUUGGUAAGGUAAUGGCUUACCAAGGCUUCGAUCUGUAGCUGGUCUGAGAGGACGGCCAGCCACACUGGCACUGACACACGGGCCAGACUCCUACGGGA
rnacentral:rRNA from 1 species